AUUGAACGCUGGCGGAAUGCUUUACACAUGCAAGUCGAACGGUAGAGGGGGCAACCCCUCGAGAGUGGCGAACGGGUGAGUAAUAUAUCGGAACGUGCCCAGUCGUGGGGGAUAACGUAGCGAAAGUUACGCUAAUACCGCAUACGAUCUAAGGAUGAAAGCGGGGGAUCGCAAGACCUCGCGCGAUUGGAGCGGCCGAUAUCAGAUUAGGUAGUUGGUGGGGUAAAGGCUCACCAAGCCAACGAUCUGUAGCUGGUCUGAGAGGACGACCAGCCACACUGCAACUGAGACCCGGUCCAGACUCCUACGGGAGGCAGCAGUGGGGAAUUUUGGACAAUGGACGCAAGUCUGAUCCAGCCAUUCCGCGUGCAGGAUGAAGGCCCUCGGGUUGUAAACUGCUUUUGUACGGAACGAAAAGGUCUCUCUUAAUACGGGGGGCUCAUGACGGUACCGUAAGAAUAAGCACCGGCUAACUACGUGCCAGCAGCCGCCGUAA
rnacentral:rRNA from 1 species